rnacentral:rRNA from 1 species
ACGUAGGGUGCGAGCGUUGUCCGGAUUUAUUGGGCGUAAAGGGCUCGUAGGUGGUUGAUCGCGUCGGAAGUGUAAUCUUGGGGCUUAACCCUGAGCGUGCUUUCGAUACGGGUUGACUUGAGGAAGGUAGGGGAGAAUGGAAUUCCUGGUGGAGCGGUGGAAUGCGCAGAUAUCAGGAGGAACACCAGUGGCGAAGGCGGUUCUCUGGGCCUUUCCUGACGCUGAGGAGCGAAAGCGUGGGGAGCGAACAGG